rnacentral:rRNA from 1 species
UACGGGGGGAGCAAGCGUUGUUCGGAAUUAUUGGGCGUAAAGGGCGCGUAGGCGGCCACGUAAGUCGAAUGUGAAAGCCCAGGGCUCAACCCUGGAAGUGCAUUCGAAACUGUGUGGCUUGAGUCUCGGAGAGGGUGGUGGAAUUCCCAGUGUAGAGGUGAAAUUCGUAGAUACUGGGAGGAACACCGGUGGCGAAGGCGACCACCUGGACGAAGACUGACGCUGAGGCGCGAGAGCGUGGGGAGCAAACAGG